rnacentral:rRNA from 1 species
UACGGAGGGUGCAAGCGUUAUCCGGAUUCACUGGGCUUAAAGGGUGCGUAGGCGGGCAGUUAAGUCAGUGGUGAAAUCCUGGAGCUCAACUCCAGAACUGCCAUCGAUACUAUCUGUCUUGAAUAUUGUGGAGGUAAGCGGAAUAUGUCAUGUAGCGGUGAAAUGCUUAGAUAUGACAUAGAACACCUAUUGCGAAGGCAGCUUACUACGCAUAUAUUGACGCUGAGGCACGAAAGCGUGGGGAGCAAACAGG